AGAGUUUGAUUCUGGCUCAGGAUGAACGCUGGCGGCGUGCUUAACACAUGCAAGUCGAACGGAGUUUUAACGGAAGUUUCGGAUGGAAGUUAGAAACUAGUGGCGGACGGGUGAGUAACGCGUGGGUAACCUGCCUCAUACAGGGGGAUAACAGUUAGAAAUGACUGCUAACACCGCAUAAUAUAGCGAAACCGCAUGAUUUUACUAUCAAAUAUUUAUAGGUAUGAGAUGGGCCCGCGUCUGAUUAGCUAGUUGGUGGGGUAAAGGCCUACCAAGGCGACGAUCAGUAGCCGGCUUGAGAGAGUGACCGGCCACAUUGGGACUGAGACACGGCCCAAACUCCUACGGGAGGCAGCAGUGGGGAAUAUUGGACAAUGGGGGAAACCCUGAUCCAGCGAACCGCCGCGUGAGUGAAGAAGUAUUUCGGUAUGUAAAGCUCUAUCAGCAGGGAAGAUAAUGACAGUACCUGACUAGGAAGCCCCGGCUAACUACGUGCCAGCAGCGGC
rnacentral:rRNA from 1 species